UUGGCCUACGGGAGGCAGCAGUGGGGAAUAUUGCACAAUGGGGGAAACCCUGAUGCAGCGACGCCGCGUGAGCGAUGAAGUAUUUCGGUAUGUAAAGCUCUAUCAGCAGGGAAGAAAAUGACGGUACCUGACUAAGAAGCCCCGGCUAACUACGUGCCAGCAGCCGCGGUAAUACGUAGGUGGCGAGCGUUAUCCGGAAUGAUUGGGCGUAAAGGGUGCGCAGGCGGUCCUGCAAGUCUGGAGUGAAACGCAUGAGCUCAACUCAUGCAUGGCUUUGGAAACUGGAGGACUGGUGAGCAGGAGAG
rnacentral:rRNA from 1 species